CUGCAGACCUCCCAAUGAGGCUCAGCCUGCUUUGGCUCUGUUCUUCCCUGAAGUGUCUGCGAGAGAGACCUGAGGCCGUUUGAGGCCCUGCUGUGGCUCCUCACAGCGGGGUUAUAGGUAAACCUCAGACAAGC